UAGGCUAAAACUAGUUGGUCGCUGAUUCAGUCGCUAUGCUAAGUUAGCGACCGAUUUUAGAGACCAAUUAUAAAAUGUUGUUUUAAAGAUGUUGGUUGCUAAAUUGGUCGCUAUUUUUAAAUUUAGCGACCAAUUCAGCGACAGAAAUACAAAAAUAGUGUUAUAAACUAAUCGGUCGCUAAAUCGCUCUCUAGUUAAAAUAAAAGGAAGUUACUGAGUUAAUCUAACCCUAACCUAGCCACACCAUCCUCAGAUCCCUCACACUUCUCACUAACCCUAAUGUGACUACCACCGGAAGCACAACACCCUCUCCAUUUGUGCCGUCCUCGCCGUCGCUGUCGUCGUCUACUGCUUGAAGCCUUCAACCUUCUUCGUCACUGGCUCACCGUCUCUCACCUUCUUCGUCACUGGCUCAUCGUCUCUCACCUUCUUCUUGCUGUCAAGCUCUUACGAUUUCUCUCACCUUGAUCUCGAUCUAACUUUAACAAUCUCUCUCACCUUGAUCUUGAUCUCACUCUCCGCUGCCGCUUCUAACUCACAUCGCCUUUCCUUAUUACUUCGUCGCAAGAAGAAAACAAGCAUACAAUUGUUGUUGCAAAACUUUGCUUCUUGUUGUUGCAUACAGUCUGAGGAAGGACUUGGUGCAGUAUGGAGAAUAUGAGUGCUUGCUGAACACCAUGGAAGUAUGUGUCAUUGAUGCCUGACCUGAGUUGUAUUGCACAGUUUGAAGGAGAGUUUUGAUGAGAAUUCACGGAGGGAUGAUGUUAAGGCUAUUGUUGUCACAAGUAUUGUAACAUGCUUCUGAGUUGAGUAACUUUUAUCUUGGAUGGAAUGACACUUUUAUUUUAUUUUAUUUUUCAAUUUUAUGAGAUAUCUUGGUCCUUAUGCCAAUAUAUACCCUUGUUAGUUUAUUGUUCCAAUCAUAUCUUCUUCUAAUCAUACUAGAGUUUUCUAAUUUGCUUUAGUUAGUGAGAUCCAUUUCUGAUGUUCUUUAGAAUAUCUUUGAAUGGUUUGGAGCAGCAGUGUAAUGUUGUUAAUUUAAAGGAGUAUUUUAAGUUACUUUGGCCAUUAUUAUAUGAAUAUCCGGGAUCACACAUUUAAUUUCUUUUGGUUCAAGACAUUCCUUCAUCUAUCUUUUUUAUGCUUAUUGCAUCAUGCAUGUGUGUUUACAUUAUAUAUGUUUACUCUAAGAUAAUUUUCAACCAGUUUCUACAGAAUAAUAACUGGCAUUUACGCUCAACUUCUAUUUGGGUUAUAGUUAAUCUCACUCUUCUUGAAAGUCCCAAUGCACUUGGUCAAAUUAUGAUUUUGCAUAGGCUUGGCAUAGUUUCUCAAAUACAGAGGAUGGUCAAUGAUUCUCACAUAGAUGUGAAGCUUCAUGCGAGACAUGCACUUGGGCAGAUUAUUACUUUUGGUGAUAGCUAAAUCUAAUAAAAUCAUGGGAUACAAUUCCUUUGGCACAUGCAAAAAUGGGAGAUUUCAAUAGAAAUUGUAUUCUUUUGUAUUCACAUCUUAUGUAUAUUGCAUCCUGCAUUCAAAAUCAGCUUUUAAUAUGGUGUAUCAAGUUGGAUUAGUUUUUCUUUUUUAACCAAUCAGAGCAGUGUGAAAAGCUUUUUGAUUCCAUAAGCACUCCUGACCACGUUACUUUCAGAAUCUCAUUUCCUUAACUGCACACAAUAUUAUGUGCUACUUUUUGUAAAUUAGAAUAUCAAUGUAGAUUUACAGGUUUAAUGUUGUAAGAUAUGAGUAGUAAAUGUACCAUAUACCAUGAAUAUGGAUUGUAGAUUGUAAGCCAACAAUAUACAUUUGGAUUGUGGAUCAUAAAUUUGAUAUAUUUAUGAAUUUGGUCUCUUUUAAUUUCUAUA